ACGAAGGGGGCGAGCGUUAUUCGGAAUCACUGGGCGUAAAGCGUGCGUAGGCUGUUUUGUAAGUCAGAAGUGAAAGCCCAGGGCUCAACCCUGGAAUUGCUUUUGAAACUACGAGACUUGAAUUCGGGAGAGGAUAGCGGAAUUGUCAGUGUAGCAGUGAAAUGCGUAGAUAUUGACAGGAACACCAGUGGCGAAAGCGGCUAUCUGGACCGACAUUGACGCUGAGGCACGAAAGCGUGGGGAGCAAACAGG
rnacentral:rRNA from 1 species